ensembl:lncRNA
CUGCAGGUAAAAUAGAGUGCUAACCUGCUGGUAAAAUAGAGUGCUAACCUGCUGGUAAAAUAGAGUGCUAACCUGCUGGUAAAAUAGAGUGCUAACCUGCUGGUAAAAUAGAGUGCUAACCUGCUGGUAAAAUGGAGCGCUAACCUGCAGAUAAAAUAGAGCGCUAACCUGCUGGUAAAAUGGAGCAGUAACCUGCUGGUAAAAUGGAGUACUAACCUGCAGGUAAAAUAGAGUACUAACCUGCAGGUAAAAUAGAGUACUAACCUGCAGGUAAAAUAGAGUACUAACCUGCAGGUAAAAUAGAGUGCUAACCUGCAGGUAAAAUAGAGUGCUAACCUGCUGGUAAAAUAGAGUGCUAACCUGCUGGUAAAAUGGAGCGCUAACCUGCAGGUAAAAUAGAGCGCUAACCUGCAGGUAAAAUAGAGCGCUAACCUGCUGGUAAAAUCAGUCAGAUAAUGGUAAUUUGGUUCAUUUCUCCCCCUCCCUGUAAGUUUGCUCUAUGGGCUGUCACUAUCCAGGCUAUCUUGAUGAAAAACAAGUGUGUGCCCUGUGGCCUAAAGCAAUGCCAAAGAUAGAGAGCUGAUAAAGAGAGGGAGGGCUGGGGUGUCUCAAUGAAGAGAGAGUGAGACUGUGAGAAGAAGAGGGGGGAGAGAGGGCUGUCUCAGUUCUCUCUGUCUACAGAAACAGCUGCUCUCCAUUGAUUACACUGGCAGUUACACUCCUAACAACCGUAUGUUUAGUGCAGAAUACUAGAGGUAAUCUUCAAUUAGACAAACCAACUGCUUUUAAAAAGAUGUACACUGCAAGGAGUAUAUGAAAUUAUAAAUAAAAAACAGAAUAAUAAUAUGUAUGCUUUCAUACAAUUUCAUAUGUGUAACCUGUCAAUGCAUUGAGGUGGUAACCUUGGUACAGUAUUUAACAUUCAGAGUGAGAUGUACACCAAGAUAUUGAUAGUCAUUCUUUGGUUUUUAUUUUUAAACAUUAUUUCACAAGUCAACAAACAUCGUACAAUAUCAAAAUCAGCUCUUAAACACAACUUUGGCUCUUGGUAUCACUAAGGUGUUGUAAUCAAAUGCGACUUCUUGCAAGGAAGAUGAGACCAGUCCACCAGUUUUAAGUUACCCUUUAAUGCAACUCCAGAUGACAUUGAGAGGUGUCAAUAGAACCCUUACCAUUGCUAAAACUCAGUAAUGGUAACGGUUAGAUUGCCACCGUCUAGCUUCCAACCGUCAACAGCUUGUGUGUGUGGUGAUAGUAUCCGGAGGGGGAAUGAGACCCUGGAUAGUACAUCAUCUAUACUGUAGUGUCACCAUAACGAACUUACAGUAUAUGAUGAUAUCCUGUCCAGGGUACAAGACUAACGAACAAUGUCCCAUGAUGACAUUGCCUAAAUGAAUAAACCUGUUGGGGAGAGAAUUAUGGAUAUUACAUAUCAAAUAAAUACACAAACAAAUAUGUACAGAAACAGGGUUGAGUCAAUAUGUUAUCAAUGUGUUAUAACAUAUUCUGAGAAGUCAACCACCCAAGGAAUGAAUACAAUAUGCAUGUUAUAUUACAGAAUGAUAUUUUCUCAGACAACAAAUUCACACAUGAUCCACAUCAAUUUCUUAAUCAAAUCUAUUGAAGUCCUAUUGCAAGACGAACCAAGUUCAGGUCCCACAUUGCAUUAUAUACCGAUACCAUGUACAUGAGUUUUCUUUUUGUAAUUGCUUGUAGUUAACUAAAAGAAACCACUUGCAGAGCAUCUUAAUAGAGGACUUUCUCUAAACCACUAAACAUCAGCUCUCUCCCCUAAUUAUCCCCUUCAAAUGAAGCCCAAUUGACAACUUCAGAGGUUUAGCGUGACUGGGUUAAGUGAUCAAAACGUCUGUACAUUUCACAUAGUGGGCCUUUAAAUGUUCACCUCACCUCCAUGUCUGGUCUGUCUGCAUUGUACUCUCUCUUGAAGAAAAAAGUGUUAAUUAAGGGCAUUGGUUGUUUUCUAUUACCACGCUGCUCUGGUUUACUUACAACAGCCAGCACAUCUCCAACACCACCACAUUGUUCACAGACUCAUGACAGCUCGCAAAGGUCUCCUUUAAGGCCACCAGUUCAUUUGCAUAUGGUAAUGACAUCAGAGCUGUGGCCCCCUUAUCUAUCAUGCUCUGGGUCUUGUCCUGUUUGCCUCUGAUCUAAUGAUGUGCCCCACCCCUUCUAAUCAGACCCCAAACAGUUUUGCAACAUCAGGUGUUUGACAUCUCGUCUGACACCCCCCCAUUACCCCGUACACACCCAUUUCAAAGCAAGUUUUUCUUAAGAAAUAUUUUUCUCCAGUUUUUUGGCCUUAUUUUGGCAGAUUUAUUUCCAGCUUCCAUUUUAAAAGGUGUUUUGUUUAACAAAUUGUCUGUCUCUUUUGUCAACAUUCAAACUCACCCAAGCAAACAUUGCCUAAUGUUCAAACAUGACCUCCACUGAACUGAUUAUUGAAGUCACUGAAUAAUUAAACAUUAAGUGGACAUCCUAAGAAACAGCCAACU